GAGAAGUGAUGGGCUCGCCUCAAUUUAUUCUCUAGGGGCAGGACCCAAGCAAGGCCCAUUGGCUGGUGGGGCCUGACCCCCAUUGGGUAUUCCCAGACCCAGGCCUGCCUGCUGUAUGCCAAUUUGCAGGUCAACCGGCAGGGCUCCUGAGCCGGCUGCUGACUAGGCCCGUGACCAAGCCGCAGUGCUGGCUGACCAUUUAAGGUACAACGUGUCAGCCCUCUCUACGUCGAAUGCCAGUACUCAGUGAGAUACUGUUUCAUCUGUCUUCACUGCACUUGCAGCGAGCGCUGCUUCUCGUUUGGUGGAAAGGACUCCAGAAGAGAUUGCGCCCAUAUGCGCCUUUCUCCCCAUUCUCAUUAACUUUAUAAAAACUCUCAAAUUUAGACCAUCUGUCCAGUAAAUGUCUCUGAACUGCCCCAA